rnacentral:rRNA from 1 species
GAUGAACGCUGGCGGCGUGGAUAAGGCAUGCAAGUCGAGCGAUCCCGUCAUUCAUAUAGCAAUAUAUGGAAGACGGGAGAGCGGCGAACGAGUUAGUAACACGUGGAUACGUACCCUGAAGACGGGCACAACCAGCCGAAAGGUUGGCUAAUUCCCGAUAGUUCCCGUAAGGGUAAAGCCCUGAGAUUUUCGAAGGGCGCUUCAGGAGCGGUCCGCGGCCUAUCAGCUUGUUGGUGAGGUAAUGGCUCACCAAGGCUAUGACGGGUAGGGGAGGUGAGAGCCUGUUCCCCAACGAUGGGACUGAGAUACGGCCCAUACUCCUACGGGAGGCGGCAGUCAAGGACAUUGGACAAUGGGGGAAACCCUGAUCCAGCGACGCCGCGUGCGGGAUGAAGGCCUUCGGGUUGUAAACCGCUUUUAUAGAGGAAGAAACUUUUAGUUGACGGUACUCUAUGAAUAAGGGGGUGCUAACUCUGUGCCAGCAGCAGCGGUAAUACAGAGCCCCCGAGCGUUAUCCGGAUUUAUUGGGCGUAAAGCGUCUGUAGCCGGUUUAGAAAGUCUCUUGUUAAAUACCAAGGGCUCAACCUUUGGAAUGCAAGGGAAACUUCUAGACUCGAGGAUGUUAGGGGCUGAUGGAACUCUUAGUGGAGGGGUGGAAUCCGUUGAUAUUAAGAGGAACACCAAAAGCGAAGGCAUUCAGCUGGAACAGUCCUGACGGUGAGAGACGAAAGCGUGGGGAGCGAAAAGGAUUAGAUACCCUUGUAGUCCACGCCGUAAACGAUGGAUACUAGCUAUGUGAAGUGUCGACCCUUCACGUGGCGAAGCUAACGCGUUAAGUAUCCCGCCUGGGAAGUACGAUCGCAAGAUUAAAACUCAAAGGAAUAGACGG